AACUACCUCCUGCGACAAAACAUAAUUGAUCAGCAUAUAAUUAUGGUGAUACAUAGAGUCGAGAUGUGUAUAUCGUUGGCGAAGCUCGCAGUGGAGUUCGUUCUCUCCGUGGCGGAAGCUGUCCACGUCGUUCAACGAGACACCAUCGCCGGCGGCGGCGGCGGCGAUGACGUUGUCCUUCUCUUGCCGCAGCUCCGCCGUCCUAGCUACGCUUACUUCAGCGGCGGCGCCCCUUCUUCUUCUGCCGUUUCGGUUCCUUUGGUUGGGUUCCUUCCUUAAAGAGAGAACAAAAAAGUAUUAGUUCAUUUCUUCCUCCUCCCGGAGAAAAACAACGCCGCCGCCGCCGCCGACAAACCGACAAAAGCCCCAGCUGGUUUUAAUUUUCUCCGGUUCGUUGACUUUUCUUUUUUGGGCGGUAUACGGUACUAUAUAUGUACUGUUCACGAUGUAUGUAUAGACGUAUUCUUUAGAGUGAAAAAAAUUAAUGUUAAAAAGAGUCGGCUGCUAUUCUCCUUUCAUCUGCGGUCGGUACUCCAUCUCCUUGCCGCCGGCCGACAACACUUCACCUCUUCAUCGACGGCAGGCUAUAUUGCUUCUUCUUCUUCCGUCUAUGUUCGAAGAACUUCCGAUUUCGCUUCGUUUUAUAAAUUUUCAACGAUUGAGAUUGAAUGGGUGAUUUGAAAAAGAGAAUCGUUUUACGAUAAGACAAAAAUCAUUUGUCUCACCAUUUACGAACGCAACGAGGACAGCCCAAGUAGGAUCUCGGUUGGUCAAGGUCGGAGUUGCCGCCGUGGUUGUUGUUCUCGCUACUGCUAACUGACUCUUUAAUGUCGAAGUUGGCCGCCGUGCAGUUGUCUUCAACCGGCUUAAUUACUGGUGCCAAUGUUCGAUCCUUGAUGCACACCCUUGACAUUACUUGCAGGCUUCUACUCAUAACAAUAAGAGAAGCAGACAAUUAAACCCAUGGUACGAGGAGCUUCUAUGGUAGUCAGCGACCCAUAUCCGAGCUAAUUAUUCAUGAGAUUUGGUAGUUUCUAACCACAUAAGCAAUAACGGGGUUCGCCUCCAAACGGAGGAGCAUGUAUUCAGGAGAUCCGCAAGUUCCUUGUCUUCUUUCCAGAUGUCUUACAGUUAGUACGGCGGGCAGAUAAUGGAGUCGCCCAUUGCGUGACUCGCAUGGCCCUUAAAUAUUUCCUCGGAAUAUUGCCG
rnacentral:lncRNA from 1 species